rnacentral:lncRNA from 1 species
GCCCCCCAAAGAAACUGCACCCCCAUAACUCCCCCCCCACACACACACAAAGUUAAGGGCACCACACCUGCCUUCCCCAGAUGGGGCUCCCUGUGCGAACGCCUCCUCGUCCUCCAGGAUUUUCCAGCGCGGGCUCAAGCUCCUCCCUCGCCGGAGCGGGGCUGCUGUCCUCCAGCCAAGCGCCAGCCAGAGCAGCGGCUGGGGGGCGGCGGGGAGUGGGCCCCGCUCGCAGCCAUUGGCUGUGCGGGCCGCAGGGGCGGAGGGAGACCCGCGGUCCCGCCGACUCGGCGGCCCCGGCUUCACUCCAGCUGCGCCCGCCGCCCGCCCGUGCGCUCCGGCAGCUCACCGCACGCUGCGCCUGACUUCCCCGCGGACGGCUUCGCGGGCGCGGAUCGCAGAGACCCGGGGGCCUGCGAGGAGCUUGGCGCCGCCCUAGUCCCACCCGGGGUGCCGGAGCGCGGCCGGGGAGGUCGGAGCGUCCCGACCCGCAGGGCACGUCCUUCGAAUGCUGGGCACUGUGGGGAUGGAGAGCCAUCUGCCAGCCUCCGAACAUUCUGGGAAUAUGGAGCUCCAGAAAAUGGACUGCUCUGAAGAGCUCCACACUUGCUCAUGGUUCUCAUUAAAGAAGAUUCAUGUAAGGGCCAAUGGACACCUGAUCCCCUGCUGCCUUUGUUUGAAAUCCAAGAAGUUUCCUUGUGCUGAUUUAACUGCCUGCAGUCUUUUCUAUCAUAAAAAACAAAACAAAACAAAACAAUGCUGAUUCUGUCCAUUUUAACCCCUGUGUGAAACUGACUUUUAACAUACUUGUGCGU